rnacentral:rRNA from 1 species
UACGUAGGCAGCGAGCGUUGUUCGGAAUUACUGGGCGUAAAGCGUGCGCAGGCGGUGAUGUAAGACAGGUGUGAAAUCCCCGGGCUUAACCUGGGAACUGCAUUUGUGACUGCAUCGCUGGAGUGCGGCAGAGGGGGGAUGGAAUUCCGCGUGUAGCAGUGAAAUGCGUAGAUAUGCGGAGGAACACCGAUGGCGAAGGCAAUCCCCUGGGCCUGCACUGACGCUCAUGCACGAAAGCGUGGGGAGCAAACAGG